AACGAACGCUGGCGGCAUGCCUAACACAUGCAAGUCGAACGAGACCAUCGGGACUGGUGGCGCACGGGUGCGUAACGCGUGGGAACCUGCCCUUAGGUUCGGAAUAACUCUCCGUAGGGGGUGCUAAUACCGGAAAAUGUCCUCGAAUCAAAGAUAGAUCGUCCUUGGGGGGGCCGGAGUUGGUUUAGCUAGUUGGUAGGGGAAAAGCCUACCAAGGCGAGGAUAGAUAGCUGGUCUGAGAGAAUGAUCAGCGACACUGGGGCGGAGACACGGCCGAGACUCCUGCGCGAGGGAGGAGAGGGGGAUACUGGACAAUGGGGGAAAGGCUGAUGCAGCAAGGCCGGGUGAGUGAUGAAGGCCUUAGGGAAGUAAAGCACUUUUACACGGCAUGAUAAUGACAGUACCGAGAGAAUAAGCACCGGCUAACUCCGUG
rnacentral:rRNA from 1 species